rnacentral:rRNA from 1 species
AUUGAACGCUGGCGGCAUGCUUUACACAUGCAAGUCGAACGGUAACAGGCCGCAAGGUGCUGACGAGUGGCGAACGGGUGAGUAAUGCAUCGGAACGUGCCCAGUCGUGGGGGAUAACGCAGCGAAAGCUGCGCUGAUACCGCAUACGAUCUAUGGAUGAAAGCGGGGGACCGUAAGGCAUCGCGCGAUUGGAGCGGCCGAUGUCAGAUGAGGUAGUUGGUGGGGUAAAGGCCUACCAAGCCGACGAGCUGUAGCUGGUCUGAGAGGACGACCAGCCACACUGGGACGGAGACACGGCCCAGACUCCUACGGGAGGCAGCAGUGGGGAAUUUUGGACAAUGGGCGCAAGCCUGAUCCAGCAAUGCCGCGUGCAGGACGAAGGCCUUCGGGUUGUAAACUGCUUUUGUACGGAACGAAACGGCCUGGGUUAAUACCCUGGGCUAAUGACGGUACCGUAAGAGUAAGCACCGGCUAACUACGUGCCAGCAGCCGCCGUAACAC